AUCUAGAUAUUUUAUUUAAAAUAUUGUUUUGUGGAAUCAAAGAUGUGAAUUAUUUUCAUUCUAGAUC
rnacentral:tRNA from 1 species